CCACCUUCCGGAUGAAAAGGGAAUCCGGUGAAAAUCCGGGACAGUACCCGCUGCUGUGAGUCCACAAAAACGGACAUCGAACUUUUGCCACUGGUGUAAUACUGGGAAGGCACGAUGACCGGGACGAGUCAGAAGACCUGCCAUGACCGG
rnacentral:ncRNA from 1 species